CCCUUAGAUGUCCGGGGCUGCACGCGCGCUACACUGUAGAAAGCAGCGUGCUUUAAAACCUUUCCUGAAAAGGAUGGGUAACCCCAGCAAAAUUCUACGUGCUUGGGAUAGAGAUUUGCAAUUUUCUCUCUUGUACGAGGAAUUCCCAGUAAGUGCGAGUCAUCAGCUCGCGUUGAUUACGUCCCUGCCCUUUGUACACACCGCCCGUCGCUACUACCGAUUGGGAAAAUUUUAGAGAGUCCUGGACUGAUGAUUGUUCGGCUUCACGGCCUUACUUUCGUCGGGAAAGAAUUCGAUAAUAUUUUUCUAGAGGAAGUAAAAGUCGUAACA
rnacentral:rRNA from 1 species